rnacentral:rRNA from 1 species
UACGGAGGGUGCAAGCGUUGUCCGGAUUUAUUGGGUUUAAAGGGUGCGUAGGCGGCUUUUUAAGUCAGUGGUGAAAUCCCUGAGCUUAACUUGGGAACUGCCAUUGAUACUAUUAGUCUUGGAUAUCGUGGAGGUAAGCGGAAAAUGUCAUGUAGCGGUGAAAUGCUUAGAUAUGACAUAGAACACCAAUUGCGAAGGCAGCUUGCUACACGGUCAUUGACACUGAGGCACGAAAGCGUGGGGAGCAAACAGG